rnacentral:rRNA from 1 species
AUUGAACGCUGGCGGCAGGCCUAACACAUGCAAGUCGAGCGGAAGAAGGGAGCUUGCUCCUGGAUUCAGCGGCGGACGGGUGAGUAAUGCCUAGGAAUCUGCCUGGUAGUGGGGGAUAACGUCCGGAAACGGGCGCUAAUACCGCAUACGUCCUGAGGGAGAAAGUGGGGGAUCUUCGGACCUCACGCUAUCAGAUGAGCCUAGGUCGGAUUAGCUAGUUGGUGGGGUAAAGGCCUACCAAGGCGACGAUCCGUAACUGGUCUGAGAGGAUGAUCAGUCACCCUGGAACUGAGACACGGUCCAGACUCCUACGGGAGGCAGCAGUGGGGAAUAUUGGACAAUGGGCGAAAGCCUGAUCCAGCCAUGCCGCGUGUGUGAAGAAGGUCUUCGGAUUGUAAAGCACUUUAAGUUGGGAGGAAGGGCAGUAAGUUAAUACCUUGCUGUUUUGACGUUACCAACAGAAUAAGCACCGGCUAACUUCGUG